AUUGAACGCUGGCGGCACGCCUAACACAUGCAAGUCGAGCGGUAACAUGAUCUGUAGCAAUACAGAUUGAUGACGAGCGGCGGACGGGUGAGGAACACGUAGGAAUCUACCUUAGAGAGGGGGACAACCAAGGGAAACUUUGGCUAAUACCGCAUAAUCUCGAGAGAGAAAAGCUGCCCGCAAGGGUGGCGCUUUAAGAGGAGCCUGCGUCCGAUUAGCUAGUUGGUGAGGUAAAGGCUCACCAAGGCGAUGAUCGGUAACUGGUCUGAGAGGACGACCAGUCACACUGGGACUGAGACACGGCCCAGACUCCUACGGGAGGCAGCAGUGGGGAAUCUUGGACAAUGGGGGCAACCCUGAUCCAGCGAUGCCGCGUGGGUGAAGAAGGCCUUCGGGUUGUAAAGCCCUUUAGGUUGGGAAGAAGGUUAGUCGUUUAAGAGAUAGCUAACUUGACUGUACCGACAGAAUAAGCACCGGCAAACUCUGUGCCAGCCGCCGCGGUAACAC
rnacentral:rRNA from 1 species